GUUAGAUUGGCUAAUGGUUUGACUGUUUAGUUUAUUGUUGCAAAGAACCAACACUUCGAUUCAUUAAUUCUUUGUAUUUUCUUUGGUCUCAAUUUCAUUGAUUUCUGCUUUAAUCUUUAUAAUUUCCUUCCUUGCACCACUGUAGGGUUUGGAUUGUUCUUGUUUUCCUAGGCCCAUGACAUGCAUCAUUAGGGUAUUUAUUUGGGCUCACUCUGUUUUUGUGAUGUGGGCAUUCACAGCUAUAAAUUUCCCUCUUAGAAAUACUUUCAUUGUGUCCCAUAAGUUGUUAUGUUGUAUUGUAUGUUGUUCUGUUAUGUUGUACUGGAAUUAUCUUUUAGUUCUAGAAACUGUCUUAUGUUUUCCUUGAUUUCUUCUGUAACCCAUUGUUUAAGAUUGUAUUGUUCAGGGCUGGGGAUUUAGCUCAGUGGUGCGGCCACCUGCCUUGCAAGCGCAAGGUCCUGAGUUCGAUCCCCAGUACCCCUCGCCCCCAAAAGAGUAUAUUGUUUAGUUUCCAUGCUUUUGAAUAAUUUCUGUUUUCUUUUGUUGUCAAUUUCUAACUAUGUUGCACUAUAAUGUGAUAAUAUACAUGGUAUAAUUUCAAUUCUUUUAUAUUAAGCUUGCUUUAUCAGCUAGUAUGUGGUCUGUUUGGAGAAAGUUGCAUGUACUGCUGAAAAGAAUGUAUAUUCUGUUGUUGGAUGGAACACUCUAUAGAUCCUUAUUACGUCCAUUUCUUUGAAACUUUUGUUCAACUCAAUUAUUUCUUUUUUCCUUUUUUAAUCCAGUUGAUUUGUCUGUGUUAGUGGGGAACUGAAAUCUCUCACUAUAAUUGUGUAUAUCUGGUCUUUUAUGUCAAGUAGUUCUUGUUUUAGAAAGUUGGGUGUGCAGUUUUCAAUGUAUAUAUGCUAAUAAUUGUUAUCUCUUCAUGUUUGAUUGUUCCCUUAACCAAUAUGUAGUGACCAUCUUUGCCUCUUUUGAUCAGUUUUGUCUUGAAGUUCACUUUGUCUGGAUUUAGGUUCACUAUACCUACUUUUGGGGGGGUUCCUGUUGCAUGUGAUAUUGUUUUCCAUCUUUUGAUUUUUAUUGUAUUAGUUUCUUUUUUUGUUAAAUGUGUUUCUUGUAAACAGCAUACUUUAGAAUUUUGUUUCUUAAUCUAUCCUGCCAGCCCGUCUUUUGACUGUGGAAUUGAGACCAUUCAUGUUGAGAGUUAUAACUGAUAAGUAUUAAUUUAUUCCUGUCAUUGCCUUAUUUUCCUAUUGCUAAUCCCUCAUCUUUCCCUUCUACUUAACUACUCACCUUACCUGAUAUAUUCAUUCUAUUAGAUAUGUUCUUAUUUUUAGUUUCAUUGUCUCUUUCUAGUGUAUCCUUAAAAUUUUUUUGGAGUGUUGAUUCAGUAGUCAGGAAUUUCUUUAGGUGCUCCUUAUCAUGAAAGUAUCUUAUUUCUGCAUUAACUUUGAAAGAUAAUUUUGCAGGAUAUUUCAGCCUGGAUUAAAUUGUUUUAUUUUAGGGUUUGAAGCACUUCACUUCAAGAUCUUCUGGCCUUAAAGGCUUGUGUUGAGUAGUCUGCUGUAAUUUUAAUGGGUUUUCCUCCAUAAGUGAUUCAUUGUUUUUCCCUAUCCAAUUUUAAUACUCUAUUCUUGGGUUGGACUUCCUGGAUUAUGGCUAUGAUAUGUCAUAGAGAAGUUCUUUUCUGAUUAUGGCUAUUUGGGAUUCUAUAUGCCUCACUUACCUGUGUGUUAAAUUCUUUUCCCUUUUUGAGAAAGUUUCCUGCUUUUAUUUCAGUAAAUUGGAUUUUUAUAUCAUUUCUGCUGAUUUUUCACUAAUUCUGAUUAAUCAUGACAAGUCUUCUUUGCAUCAUCUAGGAUAUUUUGGAUCUAUUUUUCAUGUUCUCUUGAUGUUUUUAAGGUUUCUCUCAUUAAUUAUUCACCAAAUAAUAGCCUUCUUUUCCUUUUUUUUUUUUUUUUUGGUACUGGGGAUCAAACUCGGGUCCUUGCGCUUGUGGCAAAACCACUAAGCUAAAUCCCCGGCCCCAUAGCCUUCUUUUCUAAUUCUGACCUUCCAGUCUCACAUUGGUCACCUCUGCUACCCAUACUUUGAAUCAAAUGUUUAAUCUCCUGAGUUUCUAUUUGCAGCUCUUUUAUGGACUCUAAUUCUUUUUUGCGCUGGUAAUUCAUUUUGCAUCAUUUUCUGUAGCUCUUUGAGAUUUUUAUUAGUAUCUUCUAUAAACCUGCUAAUCAUUUUGUUUAUCUGGCCCAUUAUGUUUUGGCUUAUGUCUUCUGUGAGCUUGCCAAAUGCCUUAGUGAUCUAUUUUUUUUUUUUUAUCUCCCAGGUACUGUUUCAAAUAAUUCAGGUAUGUGGCUUUUAUUUUCCUUCCUUUCGAUGCCCUCUGUAUCAUCUUUGGGGGAGUUAGGAGUUUUUGGAGCCAUUUUAUUAGCUUGUCUUCUCGUUUUCUAUUUUGUUUCUUUGUUUGUGUUGAAGUGUACAGGUUGAUUGUAGUGGAAAGCUGUGUUUAUAGUAUGGAGACCUCUUUAGUUCAUGUUUACUUUUCAGUGGUAUCCUCUGAGCAUGGCUAACUGUUGGCCAUUGCCUCCAUCCUAGGUUCCAACCACCUCUGUUUAUUUGAGAUGGGAGGUUGCAGUAUAUUUGGCACAGUACCCAAUUUUCCAGGAAUGGGGCACAAUAUUAUUAAUUUCAAUUCUUUUACAUUUACUUAAGCUUGCUUUAUUGGCUAGUAUGUGGUCUGUUUUGCAGAGAGUUGCGCAUCCUGCUGAAAAUAAUGUAUAUUCUGUUGCUUGGUGGAAUACUCUAUAGAUAUCUAUUAAGUCCUAAUUCAGUAUACCAAGAAAAUUGGAAAUCUAUCUCUAAAUAUAAUUAUUACACAAAUGUUUAAAACAGUGUUUAUAAUGGCCCCAAAGUGGAAACAACCAAAACAUCCAUUAACUAAAGAAAGGAUAAACAAAAUGUAUCCAUGCAAUGAAAUGUUAUUCAUUCUUAAAAAGGAGUAAAGAGCUGAAAUGUGCUACAAAUGGAUUGAAUCUUGAAACAAUUAUGCUAAUUGAAAUAAGCCAGAUGGGAGAGGCUAUGACAUGGUUUAGAUCUAAAAUGUUCCCACAGCCGGGAAUGGUGGCAGAUGCCUAUAAUCCCAGCACUCAGAGGCUGAGGCAGAAGAAUUGUCUGGAAUUUGAGGCCAGCCUGGUCUACAUAAUGAGUUUAAGGACACCCUGAACUACAUAGUGACACCCUAUCUAAAAAAAAAACCAAAUAAAUUAAUAAAAAUGUCAUGGGUUCAUAAAUGGGGCUUUUAGGAAGUGAUUAAAUCCUGGGAGCACUAUACUUUAAUCCAAGCUCCAAGCUGAAUAUGCUGUUAGGAGCUAGUGCCCAUUGGGAGAUGGGUGACAGAGUUGUGCCUUUCGAGAGUAUGUCUCUCAUUCUUCCUCUUACUGUCCUCUCAGCUCCCUGGUUGCCAGGAAGUCAACAUUGUUGUUGCACCAUGCAUUCUGCCAUGAUGUUUCUGCCUUAGAGCUAGCCAAACAUGGACUAAACUGAAAUCAUGAACUAAGUUGAAUCUCUCCUUUAUGUUGAGGGUAUUGGAUAUUUUGUCCCAGCAACAGGAAAGCUGAUAUAGAAAACUGCUGUGACUUUACUUGACUAUGUGGUUCAGAAGCCUUUGGAACUGGUUUGUAGGAGGAGUUUGGAAAAGUUUGGAGAUGUGGGCUAAGAAGCUCUAGAAUGCUCUAAGCAGAGCUUAAUGGGCAUGUCUGGUUGGAGGGCAGAAGACCAGAAUACUGAUAAAAAUGGGACCAGUAAUUGCCAGGUUCAUGAAGUUUCAGAUGAAAAUGAGGACUCUAUUGGGAACUGGAGUAGAAGCCAUGUAUGUUAAAUUCUGGCAAAGAUGUUGUCUACAUUUUGCUCAUGUCCUAAGACUUUGUAUGAGAUUGAAUUUUAAAAUGUUGAUCUAAUUAAUUAGUUAAUGUUGGUGGAGAAAAUUUCAAGAUAGAACAUUUUGACUAUUGCAUGAGUAUCGCUGGCUGUUUUUAAUGAGAUUUACAGUGAAAAUUUGGAGCAAAAAGCAGAUCCAAGACAUUUGGAAACUUUGCAGUUUGGCCAGAAAUGAAGCUAAGUAAAGUUGGGGCCACAGAAGGUGUGGCUGACAAACAGAUUAGAACCAUUUUUUAAAAGCCUAUUACUUUGUACAGAGGCAGUAGGAAAGAGCACAUCUCAGGAAUUGACCAGACCUAGCUAUUGCAGGCUCAAUGGUAGAAAUGGGUAAGCUCCUUUGAAAGCCUUUGAAAAGAGAGCCUCAGGGUGCCAUGCUCAUUCAGGGCCACAUAGGAAAGUUUUCCUGCUUUCAGCCAUCCAGGCACUCAGGUCACUGAAGCUCUGAGGGGGUCAGGCUACUGCUCAAGCUGGUGGCAGAUCUUGGCAUCAUCCACAUAGGCAUGCAGAAUAUAAGAGUUGUGGGAUCAUAGAGGCUUCCACCCAGAUUUCAGAGGAAGUCCUGGGAAGCCAAGAACUGCAGAGUGACAGGGUGACAGUUUCUGCCAGUAGCUCCUGGUAUGCCAAUGGAUGAAACAACGAGAAUGAAAAUUAAGCUGCAGUGAAAACCCCAGGAAGUUGGAGAUGCCAGGAACACAGAACAUUUGCUGAGAAGAGUCAUAGGCAGUGAACAGAGCUAGUGCAAGAGAAAGCCUCGUGUGGCUUUCCACCAAGGCCACAAGUGUGGGACUGCUCAGGUCUUUUUGCACUCACAUCUCACCACUUGCACCCCAGCUGGGGCUGGGCAUAGAUCUAUAGGACUUAAUGGCUGGGUUUCCCUGCUGGGUUUUGUUUUUCCUCUGGUCUGAUUCCUUUCUUUGCCCUCAUUCCUCCCUUUUGGAAUGGGAAAGUUUACCCUAGACCAUUGUAUGUUGGAAGCAUUUAACUUUCUUUUUAUGUUUUUACAGAGGCUCGCAGCUAAGAGUUUGCCUUGAGACUUAGAAGAGACUUUAGACUUGGACUAUUGAGAUUCUGGCCACUCUUGAAGAUGGAGUGAAUGUAAUUUGCAUAAGCAAAUGGACAUCAAAUGUUUGAUCUAAAAUAUGCUCCUAAAAUUUCAGGAGUUCAGGGAUGGGGUUAUUGGAAGGUGAUUGAAUCAUGAGGGCACUAUACUCUGCAGAGUAAUCCAUUGAUGAGUUCCCAGGUGAAUGUGCCAUCAGGAGGUGGGCCCCAGUUGGAGGUCAUGGGUUACUGGAGGCAUGCUGAAGGCAGAUGUAUCUCUCACUCUGGCUCUGGCUAGUCAUGUCUACUUCUUGACUGCCAGGACAUUAGCAUCUUCACUCCACCACACCCUUCUACAAUGUUUCUGGCUUGGAGCUAUCCAAACAUGAGCUGAAACCAUGAACCAAAUUAAACCUCUCCUUUAAGUUGUUGGUUAUUUCAUCCCAGCAAUGGAAAGCUGAGUAACACAGACUACAGCUACUUUUACUCCAUUUACAUGAAAUGUCCAGAAUAGAUCAAUCCAUGCAGACAUUAAGUAAAUUAGCAGUUUCCAGGAGAAAGGGAAAAGAGGGUAUUAGAAGUGACUGCUGGGCCAGGGAUUUAGCUCAGUAGCACCAUGCCUGCCUUGCAAGUGCAAGGUCCUGAGUUCAAUCUCUGGUACCAAAAAAAACCCAGAAGUGACUGCUGAUAGGUACUUUUUGGGGUGACAAAAAAUGUUCUAAAAUUAGGUAAUGAUGGCUGCAAAACAUUGAAUAUACCCCAAAAACCACUGUAUUUUAUUCUUUGAUAGAGUAAAUUUUAUAUCAAUUUACAUUUAUUAUAAUUUUAUCUCAAACUAAAUUACAAAAAAUAAUUGAGU
rnacentral:lncRNA from 1 species